rnacentral:lncRNA from 1 species
UGGAAGCGCAGCAGGACGGAAUCAAGGUCUCCUUGGGACCUCCCCCUCCGAGGAUUCCUAAUCCUCCUAGUUUGAGCUCAAACCAUAAUGGUGUGCCAGCUGACCCGGGAAUGAUCUCCCCUGUGGAAGCACAGGUUAGUGGUCGGCAGCAAGAAGAGUCAGAGAAAGCCUGUGUCCCAGUCGCAGAGGUGUACAAAAGGAAGGAAGUGCCAGAGAAGCCGACGGCGAGUAAGAAUUCAGCUCGGUCGGCGCCUCUGAACUAGCUGACUGUCCGCUACGUGAUUCCGCCAUGGAGUGGGCCUCCGGGGAACCCUUUCUACUUCGAAAUCCUCAAGGACGGCACCAUCAUUGGACAAUUAGGCGUGUGACUCAUCCGCCAGAAUCGAUCAUCAUCAUGAUGCGUUGCAACAGGAAGCUUUACUUGAUCCAUCUUUUCUCAACCAGUCUCUGGAAGACCAUUAUCUAGAGUUUUGAAUGCCCCUUUUUAUGUGCAUUGACAGGUGAUGAUGCCCAAGUUCUGAAUGAUCUAAACGUGCUC